GUGACGGAAACUGCAUACCAUGCAGUCGACGGUCUCUUCGGAGAUAGUGGCGGACGGGUGAGUAACGCGUGAGAAUCUACCCUUAGGACGGGGACAACAGAGGGAAACUUCUGCUAAUCCCGGAUGAGCUGAAAAGUCAAAGAUUUAUCGCCUAGGGAUGAGCUCGCGUCUGAUUAGCUAGUUGGUGUGGUAAAAGCGUACCAAGGCAACGAUCAGUAGCUGGUCUGAGAGGAUGAUCAGCCACACUGGGACUGAGACACGGCCCAGACUCCUACGGGAGGCAGCAGUGGGGAAUUUUCCGCAAUGGGCGAAAGCCUGACGGAGCAAGACCGCGUGGGGGAGGAAAGCCUUUGGGUUGUAAACCCCUUUUCUCAGGGAAGAAGAAAGUGACGGUACCUGAGGAAUCAGCCUCGGCUAACUCCGUGCCAGCAGCCGCGGUAAUACGGAGGAGGCAAGCGUUAUCCGGAAUGAUUGGGCGUAAAGCGUCCGCAGGUGGCUCAUCAAGUCUGCUGUUAAAUCCAGUAGCUUAACUACUGAGUGGCAGUGGAAACUGAGGAGCUAGAGUGCGGUAGGGGCAGAGGGAAUUCCUGGUGUAGCGGUGAAAUGCGUAGAGAUCAGGAAGAACACCGGUGGCGAAAGCGCUCUGCUGGGCCGCAACUGACACUCAGGGACGAAAGCUAGGGGAGCGAAUGGGAUUAGAUACCCCAGUAGUCA
rnacentral:rRNA from 3 species